UACAGAGGUCUCAAGCGUUGUUCGGAUUCAUUGGGCGUAAAGGGUGCGUAGGCGGCGCGGUAAGUCGGGUGUGAAAUCUUGGAGCUUAACUCCGAAACUGCAUUCGAUACUGCGGUGCUUGAGGACUGGAGAGGAGACUGGAAUUCAUGGUGUAGCAGUGAAAUGCGUAGAGAUCAUGAGGAAGAUCAGUGGCGAAGGCGGGUCUCUGGACAGUUCCUGACACUGAGACACGAAGGCCAGGGGAGCAAACGGG
rnacentral:rRNA from 1 species